GGAAUUUAAAAAUAAUAAUAAUUUGAUUUUUGUUAAAAAAAAUUUAAUUUAAUUUAAUAUUAGAUGUGGGAUAUAAAAUUUGAGUUAUCUUAAAGGUAAAUUAUUAUAAUUUGCAAUAAAUAGUAUUAUAAAUUUAUGAAAGUUUGAUUUAGUUAUUAUUAUUAAGUAUUGAUUAAAUAUGUGCCAGCAAUCGCGGUUAUACAUAGGAUAUAAUUAAAUUAUUUUAGUUGAUAGUUAUAGAAGAAUUUUUUUUGUAAUUUUUAUAUUUAUUUUUGGGUGAAAUCUAAAUUUUUAUAGUGAUUAUAUAAUAUAAUUUAAGAAGCUGUGAAAAUUAUUAUAUUAAACUAGGAUUAGAUACCCUAUUAUUAUAGUUUUAAAAUAUUGAACUUGGGUAGUAAUAGAUAUGAUCUUGAAACUUAAAUAAUUUGGCGGUAUUUUAGUCUAUUUAGAGGAAUUUGUCCCGUUAUCGAUAAUCCACGUUGAACCUAACUUUAGUUUUAAGAUAUAUGUAUAUCGCCGUUUAGAAAAUCUUUGUAGGGUUAAAAUUUCUUUAAAUUUUAUUAAAUUAUAUUUCAGGUCAAGGUGCAGUAGAUAUUAAAGUGGAGAUGAGUUACAAUAUGUUAAUAUAAUAUGAAUUAUAAGUUGAAAUUUUUAUAUGAAGGUGGAUUUAAUAGUAAUAUUAUGAAGAUUAGUUAAUAUGAUUUAAUUGGCUCUAAAGUAUGUACAUAUCGCCCGUCACUCUCGUUUUUAAUAUGAGAUAAGUCGUAACAAAGUAGGUGUACCGGAAGGUGUAGCUAGAAUUAUUA
rnacentral:ncRNA from 1 species